GUAAAGCACUUUCAGUAGGGAGGAAGGUAGUGUAGUUAACACCUGCAUUAUUUGACGUUACCUACAGAAGAAGCACCGGCUAACUCCGUGCCAGCAGCCGCGGUAAUACGGAGGGUGCGAGCGUUAAUCGGAAUUACUGGGACGUAAAGCGCAUGCAGGCGGCCUGUUAAGUACAGAUGUGAAAGGCCCGGGGACCGUUAACCUACGGUAAGUUGCUAUUUAGUAAACGUGGCGAGGCUAGAGUCUUGUAGAGGGGGGUAGGAAUUUCAGGUGUAGCGGUGAAAUGCGUAGAGAUCUGAAGGAAUACCAGUGGCGAAGGCGGCCCCCUGGACAAAGACUGACGCUCAGAUGCGAAAGCGUGGGGAGCAAACAGGAUUAGAUACCCUGGUAG
rnacentral:rRNA from 1 species